rnacentral:rRNA from 1 species
AACGAACGCUGGCGGCAUGCCUAACACAUGCAAGUCGAACGAGACCUUCGGGUCUAGUGGCGCACGGGUGCGUAACGCGUGGGAACCUGCCCUUAGGUUCGGAAUAACUCCCCGAAAGGGGUGCUAAUACCGGAUAAUGUCUUCGGACCAAAGAUUUAUCGCCUUUGGAUGGGCCCGCGUUGGAUUAGCUAGUUGGUAGGGUAAAAGCAUACCAAGGCGACGAUCCAUAGCUGGUCUGAGAGGAUGAUCAGCCACACUGGGACUGAGACACGGCCCAGACUCCUACGGGAGGCAGCAGUGGGGAAUAUUGGAAAAUGGGCGAAAGCAUGAUCCAGCAAUGCCGCGUGAGUGAUGAAGGCCUUAGGGUUGUAAAGCUCUUUUACCCGGGAUGAUAAUGACAGUACCGGGAGAAUAAGCUCCGGCUAACUCCGUG